CAGAAUCCACACAGUGCUGCAAAGACGGGGAGCUCAACUGUUCUUGUGGAGAGCUCAGAUGAUGAAGAUGCCUUUGCUGCAUUUUUGCAGCGAGUUAAAACCCCUGCAGCCAAAGCGAAGAAAACAUCUGGAAGUGGGAGUGAAGACAGCCUGAAAAACUUCAUAGUGGACGAUUACUCAUCUGAUGACGACUUUCUUGAAACAAAAUCAUCCUUAAGAGUUCCUAAAAAGAUCAACACUCCGGCAGAACGGCAACCGUUCAGAAGACUCGUCGCCCAGUUUAACUCGCCCGUCUUUGUUAGUGACAGUGGGGACGACGAUGAAGACAACGUAGUCAUACGGGAGUACUUGGAAGGCC